UACGAAGGGGGCUAGCGUUGCUCGGAAUCACUGGGCGUAAAGCGCACGUAGGCGGCUUCUUAAGUCAGGGGUGAAAUCCUGGAGCUCAACUCCAGAACUGCCUUUGAUACUGAGGAUCUUGAGUUCGGGAGAGGUGAGUGGAGCUGCGAGUGUAGAGGUGAAAUUCGUAGAUAUUCGCAAGAACACCAGUGGCGAAGGCGGCUCACUGGCCCGAUACUGACGCUGAGGCACGAAAGCGUGGGGAGCAAACAGG
rnacentral:rRNA from 1 species